rnacentral:ncRNA from 1 species
GUCGGUCUUCAGCGGCGAAUAGUUGAUGAACAGAAAGCCGCGCUGCUGGUCGAUGAUGUGGAACAGCGGGUUCCAGACGAACCAGGGCAUCAGCGCAUUGGGCAGGACGUUGGCCACGAACAUCUUGCCCGAUGCGAACAUGUUGAUGCGCUG